rnacentral:rRNA from 1 species
CCUACGGGUGGCUGCAGUGGGGGAUAUUGCACAAUGGGGGGAACCCUGAUGCAGCGACGCCGCGUGGGUGAAGGAGUGCUUCGGCAUGUAAAGCCCUAUCGGCAGGGAAGAAGCAAGACGGUACCUGACUAAGAAGACCCGGCUAACUACGUGCCAGCAGCCGCGGUAAGACGUAGGGGGCGAGCGUUAUCCGGAUUCACUGGGUGGAAAGGGAGAGUAGAAGGCCAGGCAAGCCAGGGGUGAAAGCCCGGGGCCCACCCCCGGGACGGCCCUUGGAACUGUGCGGCUAGAGUGCGGGAGGGGCAGGCGGAAUUCCUGGUGUAGCGGUGAAAUGCGUAGAUAUCAGGAGGAACACCGGCGGCGAAGGCGGCCUGCUGGACCGCGACUGACGUUGAGGCUCGAAAGCGUGGGGAGCGAACAGGAUUAGAUACCCCGGUAGUC